rnacentral:rRNA from 1 species
GACAAACGCUGGCGGCGUGCCUAAUACAUGCAAGUCGAACGAACAGAUCAGGGGAUUUUUUCUGUGUGGUACGCGGCGGAUAGGGGCGGAUCGCGUAGAUAAGCUAGGUCAACGACUGUUGUAAAGGCGGGUAACCUGGAGUAAUCCCGGCUAAUAUAUUAAAACAACCUUUCUUAUCAUGAAGUACGGUGUUGAUGUGACUUAUGCAUUGAUCAUCCACGAUUUAGCUGCGUCUGAUUAGCUAGUUGGUGAGGUAAAGGCUUACCAAGGCGACGAUGAGUAGCCGACCUGAGAGGGUGAACGGCCACACUGGAACUGAGACACGGUCCAGACUCCUACGGGAGGCAGCAGUAGGGAAUCUUCCGCAAUGGGCGAAAGCCUGACGGAGCAACGCCGCGUGAGUGAAGAAGGUCUUCGGGUCGUAAAACUCUGUUAUUAGAGAAGAAAAAAUGUGUAAGUAACUAUGAACGUCAGGACGGUAGAUAAUCAGAAAGCCACGGCUAACUACGUG